UACAGAGGUCCCAAGCGUUGUUCGGAUUCACUGGGCGUAAAGGGUGCGUAGGUGGUGAAGUAAGUCGGAUGUGAAAUCUCGGAGCUCAACUCCGAAACUGCAUUGGAAACUACUUUGCUCGAGGGUUGGAGGGGGGACUGGAAUUCUCGGUGUAGCAGUGAAAUGCGUAGAUAUCGAGAGGAACACCAGUGGCGAAGGCGAGUCCCUGGACAACUCCUGACACUGAGGCACGAAAGCUGGGGGAGCAAACAGG
rnacentral:rRNA from 1 species